UCAAAAUUGUCAUAUGGUGUGACUGUCCGGACUAUGUGUGACGUUACUAAUAUGACAAUAUAUCUCAGCAAAGUAUAAAUAAUUGAUAGAUUUACAGUUUAAGUAACAGAAUUAGGCAUUUUUAAUGGACACAGAAAGUGUUGAUGUCUGUGCAUGAUUUUAAAGCAAGUUCUGGCUAAAUACAUUUUGUCCGUAAAAUGGGCGUCAUAUGGUGUGACAUUACAAUCUGUAUUUUGAACGGCAAUAAUUUGGACAUCAUUAUGAUGAAGAGGUCCACACUCAACCAGGAAGCUGCAGUGUCCUCUUUGGAGUGGUUUGGAAGGUGAAGAGAAAUGUCAAGUAAAGAGAGGACACAAAAAUACAGGGUAAGACUCAAUGCUGACCAUGCAAGGAGCGAAGAGGUCCUGAGGGAAAGGAGGAAAAAAGAAGAAACGAAGAGGACAACUCGAGGCAUUCAGUGUGCACACCCUUCUUCCUUCAAGACGAGAGAGAUGUGGAGAGAAGCACAAAAGAAAUACAGAAAAAGAAAAAAGUGAAUGCCAUUAUGAACCUGACCCCUCCAUCUCUUGAAGCAUCACUGAAUGAAGAUACUAUAAAUGUCUAUGAAUUUUCAAUCUAAAACAUUCGACUAAUUGU